rnacentral:miRNA from 1 species
GCCCACCUCAGCCUCCCAAAGUGCUGGGAUUACAGGCUUGAGCCACUGCACCCGGCCUUAAUCUCUUAAUUAUGAGUUCAAUCUUUCUGUUUGCAG